UGGGGAAUAUUGCACAAUGGGGGAAACCCUGAUGCAGCGACGCCGCGUGGAGGAAGAAGGUCUUCGGAUUGUAAACUCCUGUUGUUGAGGAAGAUAAUGACGGUACUCAACAAGGAAGUGACGGCUAACUACGUGCCAGCAGCCGCGGUAAAACGUAGGUCACAAGCGUUGUCCGGAAUUACUGGGUGUAAAGGGAGCGCAGGCGGGAAGACAAGUUGGAAGUGAAAUCUAUGGGCUCAACCCAUAAACUGCUUUCAAAACUGUUUUUCUUGAGUAGUGCAGAGGUAGGCGGAAUUCCCGGUGUAGCGGUGGAAUGCGUAGAUAUCGGGAGGAACACCAGUGGCGAAGGCGGCCUACUGGGCACCAACUGACGCUGAGGCUCGAAAGUGUGGGUAGCAAACAGGAUUAGAUACCCUGGUAGUCCACACCGUAAACGAUGAUUACUAGGUGUUGGAGGAUUGACCCCUUCAGUGCCGCAGUUAACACAAUAAGUAAUCCACCUGGGGAGUACGACCGCAAGGUUGAAACUCAAAGGAAUUGACGGGGGCCCGCACAAGCAGUGGAGUAUGUGGUUUAAUUCGACGCAACGCGAAGAACCUUACCAAGUCUUGACAUCCUGCGACGAUGCUGGAAACAGUAUUUUCCUUCGGGACGCAGAGACAGGUGGUGCAUGGUUGUCGUCAGCUCGUGUCGUGAGAUGUUGGGUUAAGUCCCGCAACGAGCGCAACCCUUACUGUCAGUUACUACGCAAGAGGACUCUGGCAGGACUGCCGUUGACAAAACGGAGGAAGGUGGGGAUGACGUCAAAUCAUCAUGCCCUUUAUGACUUGGGCUACACACGUACUACAAUGGCGUUAAACAAAGAGAAGCAAGACCGCGAGGUGGAGCAAAACUCAGAAACAACGUCCCAGUUCGGACUGCAGGCUGCAACUCGCCUGCACGAAGUCGGAAUUGCUAGUAAUCGUGGAUCAGCAUGCCACGGUGAAUACGUUCCC
rnacentral:rRNA from 2 species